AACGAACGCUGGCGGCAGGCUUAACACAUGCAAGUCGAACGCCCCGCAAGGGGAGUGGCGCACGGGUGAGUAACGCGUGGAUAUCUGCCUUUUGGUUCGGAAUAACCCCGGGAAACUGGGGCUAAUACCGGAUGGUUCCUACGGGAUAAAGAUUUAUCGCCAAAAGAUGAGUCCGCGUACGAUUAGCUAGUUGGUGAGGUAAUGGCGAACCAAGGCGACGAUCGUUAGCUGGUCUGAGAGGACGAUCAGCCACACUGGGACUGAGACACGGCCCUGGCUCCUACGGGAGGCAGCAGUGGGGAAUAUUGAAAAAUGGGGGCAACCCUGGUCCAGCCAUGCCGGGGGAGUGAUGAAGGGCUUCGGGUUGUAAAGCUCUUUUGGCGGGGACGAUGAUGACGGUACCCGCAGAAUAAGCCCCGGCUAACUUCGUGCCAGCCGCCGCCGUAA
rnacentral:rRNA from 1 species